AGACCUGCCCGGUGAAUAUUUAUUUAAACGGCCGCGGUAUUUUGACCGUGCAAAGGUAGCAUAAUCAGUUGUCUUAUAAUUGAAGACUGGAAUGAAUGGUUAAACGAAAUUAGAGCUGUUUCAUUUGUAUUUAUUAGAAAUUGGCUUUUAAAUGAAGAGAUUUAAAUUUGAUUAAGGGACAAGAAGACCCUAUUGAGCUUUAAAUAAUUUAAAGGGUUAAAGUUAUUAUAAAGAUCUAUGAUCUUUAGUAUUUUUUUAGUUGGGGCGACUAAGGAACAGGCGAAGCUUCCUUUAUUUAUUUAAUUGAUAGAUUUUGAUCCUGUAUUACUGAUUAAGAGAAAUAGUUACCAUAGGGAUAACAGCAUAAUCUUCUUGGAGAGUUCUUAUUAAAAAGGGGGGUUGUGACCUCGAUGUUGGACUAAAAUAUCCUAAGGGUGUAGAAGCUUUUAAGGGUUGGUCUGUUCGACCAUUAAAAUUUUACGUGAUCUGA
rnacentral:rRNA from 1 species